rnacentral:rRNA from 1 species
GACGGAAGGUGCAAGCGUUGCUCGGAAUCACUGGGCGUAAAGCGCACGUAGGCGGCUUUUUAAGUCAGGGGUGAAAUCCUGGAACUCAACUCCAGAACUGCCUUUGAUACUGAGAAGCUUGAGUCCGGGAGAGGUGAGUGGAACUGCGAGUGUAGAGGUGAAAUUCGUAGAUAUUCGCAAGAACACCAGUGGCGAAGGCGGCUCACUGGCCCGGUACUGACGCUGAGGUGCGAAAGCGUGGGGAGCAAACAGG